UCCAUGUUUCACUAACCACACCCACAUUAUUAAUACACAACAGAACUUCACUCAGUCUCAGUGAACAAACACUCUUUAAAGUGGACUUCAGUUAAGAUGGAGGAGAGGCAAAUGCUGCUCAUGAUGCUCAUCACAGUUUCAGGUGGAUUUGCUGAUAAAAUUGGACCAAAAGAUGGAAAUACUAAUGUAAUCAAAGAAGAAGGAGAGUCUGUGACACUGAGCUGCACAUAUGAAACUAACAGCAAUGACAUUUGGCUUAACUGGUACAGACAGUAUCCGAACAGUGAACCAAAAUAUUUACUGUUUAAAGGUGCUCGAUCACAGAGCAAUGAAGAUAUACCAGCCGGUUUUCAGUCAACUACAUCCCAAUCAUCCACUGAACUCACUAUUAACAGUGUGACUCUGUCAGAUUCAGCUCUCUAUUAUUGUGCUCUAGUAGUUGGAGCCCAGUGAUAUAAAGUGCCUGAGAAGCUUUACAAAAACUCAUACAAAAUUAAUGCUUUGAAGUGUCUUUAAUCAAUCUGUAUCAUGUUACUGUAAACCACAAACAGUGAAUGUGGUAACAGCUGUGAAAUUGGGAGGUUACAUAAGGACAUGUGAAUAAAAUUCAGCAUUUCUACAUGGUUCUCCUAUUACCGCUUUUAUGUUAAACUGUCUGAAUUUAUUUAAUUUAACAUUUUACAUACAUGACAGAUCAUAUUUGAUCUUCUACAUGUGUCUUUUGUGAAUGUUAUCACACUAGUCCAAACUAAAGAUA